CAGUAGCCGCGGGAAAACGAAGGGUUCAAGCGUUAAUCGGAAUUACUUGGCGUAAAGCGCGCGUAGGUGGUUCAUUAAGUUGGAUGUGAAAGCCCUGGGCUCAACCUGGGAACUGCAUCCAAAACUGGUGAGCUAGAGUACGGUAGAGGGUAGUGGAAUUUCCUGUGUAGCGGUGAAAUGCGUAGAUAUAGGAAGGAACACCAGUGGCGAAGGCGACUACCUGGACUGAUACUGACACUGAGGUGCGAAAGCGUGGGGAGCAAACAGGAUUAGAUACCCCAGUAGUCCCUGUCUCUUAUAU
rnacentral:rRNA from 1 species